AUGUAUACUUGUGUAUCUCACUGGACAUAUACCCUUACAUAUGUAUAUCUAUAUGUCUUUCUCUCUUUCACUAGCCCGUCCUCUUGUAUCUCAGAGAACUGCACCCUACACCGGAAACAUCAUCAUCCUCCUCCCCCCCCAUCUCCCCCCACAUCCCUCCCAGCUUCCACUACGGCUGGAGACACCAGCAACUCCUCGCCGUCCCACGAGCCCAAGGAGAAGCGUGUGCACUUUGACCUCGACACCCUGCACAGCUACCGCCUUCGCACGCACACGGCCUCGGUGCGCGGCCGGCCCGGGAUGGUCGGCCGCCCGGGGCUCGGCCUCGGAGGGUUCGGUCUGGGCAACCUGGGGAGUUUUACGUCCCCGCCGCAGAUUAGCCUCCACGUCAACGGGGGCCCUGUCUCGGCACUGGCCUCCACGGGCUUGGUGCUCUCUCCGCUGGGGAGCAGGGCGGCUCAGACCAGCCUGUGGGAGGGGGAGCUCCAGGAGCUGCAGGGGAAGAUCGAGAUAUUCCGCAGCCAGCUGAGAGAGGCUCUGGCCAGGCGGGCGGAGAUCCAGAGCAGCCUGGAGCGAGAGAGGAGCGGACACGUGCGCAGGGAUACCAGUCUGGAGAGGGAGAAGGACAGACAGAGGAUACAAACUAUAAAUACAGACAGAAGUAGCAGCACUCAGUCGAAACUCCCCGAGAGAGACAGGACCAGCCAACUGCAGACCCUGAACAAUCAACAGACCGGAAGGGCGAACCAGUCAGGUGGGCCUGGGACUCUGGAGCACGGGAGGAGCAGCCAGUUAAACACGGUGAACAGUCUGGACAGAGGGAGAGCCAUCCAACUGCGCUCCGUCAACACUUUGGCGGGAGAAAGGACUGUGCAGUCGCGCACCUCCACCAGUUUGGAGCGCAGUCGGGUCAACCAACCGGGCGCCGGGAACGCAACUGUCCACUCACGGAACACUUCCAGCCUGGACAGGCAGAAGGCUAACCUGUCGCGCACUUUGAACACUUUGGAGAGGACAAAAGCCAACCAAUCAGGUGUCAACAGUGGAACUUGA
rnacentral:lncRNA from 1 species